GCCAGUGACUGUCCAUCAGACAAAGUUUACAAGCCUUGUGGUCCUGCCGAACAGCCAACCUGCGAAGACAAUCCCGAUGAACCUACCAUGAACUACACCACCGAAGGCUGCUUUUGUCCAGAUGGAAUGAAGCUCUUUAACAAAGAGUCUGGAAUAUGUGUUGAAAAGUGUGGAUGUCUUGAUCCUGACGGUGUUCCUCGUGAGUUCAAUGAGAG